rnacentral:rRNA from 1 species
GAUGAACGCUGGCGGCGUGCCUAAUACAUGCCAGUCGAGCGAACAGACGAGGAGCUUGCUCCUCUGACGUUAGCGGCGGACGGGUGAGUAACACGUGGAUAACCUACCUAUAAGACUGGGAUAACUUCGGGAAACCGGAGCUAAUACCGGAUAAUAUAAUGAACCGCAUGGUUCAAUAGUGAAAGACGGUUUUGCUGUCACUGCUAGAUGGAUCCGCGCCGCAUUAGCUAGUUGGUAAGGUAAAGGCUUACCAAGGCACUGAGGCGUAGCCGACCUGGGAGGGUGAGCGGCCACACUGGAACUGAGACACGGUCCAGACUCCUACGGGAGGCAGCAGUAGAGAAUCAUCCGCAAUGGGCGAAAGCCUGACGGAGCAACGCCGCGUGAGUGAUGAAGGUCUUCGGGUCGGAAAACUCUGUUAUUAGGGAAGAACAAAUGUGUAAGUAACUAUGCACGUCUUGACGGUACCUAAUCAGAAAGCCACGGCUAACUACGUG